UACGUAGGGGGCUAGCGUUGUCCGGAAUCAUUGGGCGUAAAGAGCGUGUAGGCGGCCCGGUAAGUCCGCUGUAAAAGUCAAAGGCUCAACCUUUGAAUGUCAGUGGAUACUGCCGGGCUAGAGUCCGGAAGAGGCGAGUGGAACUCCUGGUGUAGCGGUGGAAUGCGCAGAUAUCAGGAGGAACACCGGUGGCGAAGGCGGGUCUCUGGGACGGUACUGACGCUGAGACGCGAAAGCGUGGGGAGCGAACAGG
rnacentral:rRNA from 1 species